UACAGAGGGUGCAAGCGUUGCUCGGAAUUAUUGGGCGUAAAGGGCAGGUAGGUGGUCCUAUUUGUCUGGGGUGAAAUCCCUGAGCUUAACUCAGGAAGUGCCCCAGAAACGGUAGGACUAGAGUUUUGGAGAGGUUCGUGGAAUUCCCAGUGUAGCGGUGAAAUGCGUAGAGAUUGGGAGGAACACCAGCGGCGAAGGCGGCGAACUGGACAAACACUGACACUCAACUGCGAAAGCGUGGGUAGCAAACAGG
rnacentral:rRNA from 1 species